GGGGCAGUAGCUCAGCUGGGAGAGCGCCAGAAUCGCACUCUGGAGGUCGGGGGUUCGAAUCCCCUCUGCUCCACCA
rnacentral:tRNA from 1 species